CCCGAAUUGGAAGGAUUUACUUAUGAAUUUAUUUUACUGUGGAAUAAUUAUUUACAAUUCUUAAGUGGUAAUGAAAUGUUAUUCGUCUUCUAAUAUAUCUGGUUUCUGGAGAAAUAAUUUUAAUUUACCUGUACAAUUAAAUUUUGCUAAUUUAAUAAUGGAAUUUAUUGUACAUUGAUGUUUAAGGGGAUAAGCUUUUAAACAAACUUGAAUUUGCUUUUUAGGUGUUAUUCAUAAGUAGGGUUAGAAUUUCCUAUCUUUUGUAUUAUGUUAUAAUUAUAUUAUAUUAUAUUAUGAUUUAUAUAGGCUGUUUUUUUAUAUUCAGAAAUUGAAUUAAAUCUUUGUUUUUAAGGUAUAAUGAUUAAAUUAGUAAAUUUUAUUUUAUCAAUAUUUGUUUUCUUUAGGUUAAUAUAAGGAAUUCGGCAAAAAUAUUUCUUGCCUGUUUAUUAAAAACAUGUCCUUUUGAUUUUUAUUUAAGGUCUGGCCUGCCCACUGAGGUUUGAAUGGCUGCGGUAUUUUGACCGUACAAAGGUAGCAUAAUCAUUAGUUUCUUAAUUGGGAGCUUGUAUGAACGGUCGGACAAGGAAAUAGCUGUCUCAUAUUAAAUUUUAAUUGAAUUUUAUUUUUAAGUUAAAAAGCUUAAAUUUUUCUAAAAGACGAGAAGACCCUAUAGAGUUUUAUAUAUUUAAGUUAAUAAUUAAUUGGUAAAUUUUAGUUUAAUCUGGUAAUGUAUUUUGUUGGGGUGACAGAAAAAUUUAAGUAACUUUUUUUUCUUUUGUACAUUUAUAAAUGAAUAAUUGAUCCGAUUAUUUCGAUUAAAAGACUAAAUUACCUUAGGGAUAACAGCGUAAUUUCUUUUGAGAGUUCAUAUCGAAAUAGGAGUUUGCGACCUCGAUGUUGGAUUAAAAUUAACUGUUGGUGUAGCAGCUAGCAUGGUUUGGUCUGUUCGACCAUUAAAAUUUUACAUGAUCUGAGUUUAGACCGGCGUGAGCCAGGUUGGUUUCUAUCUUUAGUUAGAUAAAAUUUCUUAGUACGAAAGGACCAGGGAUU
rnacentral:rRNA from 1 species